AUGGAUUCAGGUGAGAGCUGAGAAUCCUGGGCUGAUAAAAAUGAAAAUCGCAUUUAACAGUUUUGAAUCAUGGAAAAUGUGUAAGGUCCUGAAGAAGGAAGUAACUGUCGAAAAAAUAAAAUCUAUGAUGUUACCGCAACUGGAAUCCACUAAUCAUAUUUUUGAAGAAAAGAGAAAAGAUCUUGAACAAAUGCUUCCAUUCUUGAAUUCAGAUGAACAGCGACAGUUUUUACUGACAUCAUCUGAGGACGAAACACUUGGUUUAGCUUUCCACAUUAUUUCAGCAAUGGCACUUACAGCCUUUUUCAAGAAAACGACAAAUGGAGCUUCA
rnacentral:lncRNA from 1 species